UACGUAGGGGGGCUAGCGUUGUCCGGAAUCAUUGGGCGUAAAGAGCGUGUAGGCGGCCCGGUAAGUCCGCUGUGAAAGUCGGGGGCUCAACCCUCGAAUGCCGGUGGAUACUGUCGGGCUAGAGUGCGGAAGAGGCGAGUGGAAUUCCUGGUGUAGCGGUGAAAUGCGCAGAUAUCAGGAGGAACACCGAUUGCGAAGGCAGCUCGCCGGGACGUAACUGACGCUGGAGACGCGAAAGCGUGGGGAGCAAACAGG
rnacentral:rRNA from 1 species